GUAGGUGAACCUGCGGAAGGAUCAUUAUCGUAGGGCUUCGGCCCUGUCGAGAUAGAACCCUUGCCUUUAUGAGUACCGUCCGUUUCCUCGGCAGGUCCGCCUGCCGAUGGACAAAAAAAAUAAACCUUUAUAACCUGUAUUAGUCUGAAAAUAAUUUAAAAAUUAAAACUUUCAACAACGGAUCUCUUGGUUCUG
rnacentral:misc_RNA from 1 species